GGUUAAGUUAAUAAGGGCGCACGGUGGAUGCCUUGGCACUAGAAGCCGAAGAAGGACGUGACAAACGACGAAAUGCUUUGGGGAGCUGUAAGUAAGCGCUGAUCCAGAGAUGUCCGAAUGGGGGAACCCACUAACUAAUGGUUAGUAUCCAUAACUGUUAAGGUUAUGAGAAGGAAGACGCAGUGA
rnacentral:rRNA from 1 species